AGAGCGAACGCUGGCGGCAGGCUUAACACAUGCAAGUCGAGCGGGCGUAGCAAUACGUCAGCGGCAGACGGGUGAGUAACGCGUGGGAACGUACCUUUUGGUUCGGAACAACACAGGGAAACUUGUGCUAAUACCGGAUAAGCCCUUACGGGGAAAGAUUUAUCGCCGAAAGAUCGGCCCGCGUCUGAUUAGCUAGUUGGUGAGGUAACGGCUCACCAAGGCGACGAUCAGUAGCUGGUCUGAGAGGAUGAUCAGCCACAUUGGGACUGAGACACGGCCCAAACUCCUACGGGAGGCAGCAGUGGGGAAUAUUGGACAAUGGGCGCAAGCCUGAUCCAGCCAUGCCGCGUGAGUGAUGAAGGCCCUAGGGUUGUAAAGCUUCUUUUGUGCGGGAAGAUAAUGACGGUACCGCAAGAAUAAGCCCCGGCUAACUUCGUGCCAGCAGCCGC
rnacentral:rRNA from 1 species